rnacentral:rRNA from 1 species
GAUGAACGCUGGCGGCGUGCCUAAUACAUGCAAGUCGAGCGAACAGAUGAGGAGCUUGCUCCUCUGACGUUAGCGGCGGACGGGUGAGUAACACGUGGAUAACCUACCUAUAAGACUGGGAUAACUUCGGGACACCGGAGCUAAUACCGGAUAAUAUAUUGAACCGCAUGGUUCAAUAGUGAAAGACGGUUUUGCUGUCACUUAUAGAUGGAUCCGCGCCGCAUUAGCUAGUUGGUAAGGUAACGGCUUACCAAGGCAACAAUGCGUAGCCGACCUUAGAGGGUGAUCCGCCACACUGGAACUGAGAGGCGGUCCAGAGACCUACGGGAGGCAGCAGUAGGGAAUCUACGGCAAUGGGCGAAAGCCUGACGGAGCAACGCAGGGUGAGUGAUGAAGGUCUGCGGAUCGUAAAACGCUGUUAUUGGGGAAGAACAAAUGUGUAAGUAACGAUGCGCGUGUUGACGGUACCGAAUCAGAAAGCCACGGCUAACUACGG